UACAGGGGGGGCAAGCGUUGUUCGGAAUUACUGGGCGUAAAGAGCGUGUAGGCGGCCAAGCAGGUCCGCUGUGAAAACUCGAGGCUCAACCUCGAGACGUCGGUGGAAACCGUUUGGCUAGAGUCCGGAAGAGGAGAGUGGAAUUCCCGGUGUAGCGGUGAAAUGCGCAGAUAUCGGGAAGAACACCCGUGGCGAAGGCGGCUCUCUGGGACGGUACUGACGCUGAGACGCGAAAGCGUGGGGAGCGAACAGG
rnacentral:rRNA from 1 species